AUGGCCAUGGAGAUGGGCCGGAGCUGGCAGGAGCUCGGCGUCGUGGACACCAUCUACGAGGACGACCACGAGGAGGAAGACGAGGAGGAGGAGACGGAGGACUGCUUCAACUCGCCCACCAUGUCCUCCUCGGCGCCCACGUCGGCGUCGUGCUCGCCCGCGGCGCCGUCCGCCUCCUCCCUCCCGCCGGCGCUCAGGAGCGCGGUGCAAGGAUGGUCGCGGGCUAAUGGAUCGCGCAAGCCGGACGUGAUCGUGCGUGUCCAAGAACACUGCUUCCAUCUGCACAGGGACCCGAUCACGUCGGAGAGCAGCUACCUGAAGCGGCAGCUGUCGGAGUGCAGCGACAUCGCCGUGGACCUACCGGCGGGCCUCACGGUCGACGCGUUCGCCGACGCGGUGGCGUCCAGCUAUGGCGCCGACGUGGCGCUGUCGCCGGAGAACCUGGCCGCAGCGUGGGUGGCCGCGGACUGGCUGGAGCUGACUGCGGAGGACGGGCUGGCGCGCCGCGCCGAGGACUACUUCUUCGAGGAAGUGGCCACGGACCACGGCCGCGCCGCGGUGGUGCUGCGGUCGUGUGCGUCGUUCCUCUGUGGCGAGGCCGCCGUGGCCGGCGCGGGGCUGCUCGUCCGGUGCCUGGAGACGCUCGCGGCGUCCGGCGGCGCCGACGGCAGGUGGCUCGAGGACGUGGCAGCGCUGCCGCUCGAGGAGUUCCAGGUGGUCGUGGAGGCACUGCGCGCGCGGCUCGCGCACGACCACGACCUCAUGUACACCAUCGUGGAUCACUACCUCGAGAACCACAAGGGGAAGCUGACGGAGGAGGAGAAGAGCCGGCUGUGCUACAACGUGAACUGCGCCAAGCUGUCGCACCACCUCUUCAUGCACCUCGUGCAGAACCCGCGGCUGCCGCUCCGCUUCGUCGUCCAGGCCAUGCUCGUCGAGCAGCUCCACUCCCACCACCCCAUGCUCCUCACCCAGCACCACCACGCCGCCGCCGCGGCUCCGGUCUCCGCCGCGCCACUGCCGUUGCUGCCUGGGCUACAUAAGGGGUCCGUCUCCGGCGCGUUCAGCAGCGCCGUGGCCGCCGCGACCGCCGGGGACGCCGCCAACAUGACGCUCGGCGACAUCCUCCAGCACGACGCGGUGCUGCGCCAGUCCGCGCACAUCCGCGCAUCCAUGGAUGCCACGGGGCACCGCAUCGACACCCUCGAGCGCGAGCUCGCCAGUCUCCGCUGCCGCCUGCGCCGCUCCGAGCAGGCCGCGGCUGCUGUCACGGCCUCGGCCGCGAUCGACCGCGUGUCCGCCAAGUCGGCCAGCUUCCGCAUCCCGCGCAGCCGGCUCUGGAACGGCGAGGACCUCUCGUCCAGCACCGCCACCACCGGCCGGUCCGUCGCCAGGGACAACCUUAGCCUCAAGUCACGUCUGGUGCACGGGUUCAAGAGCCUGUUCGGCCGGAGGCCAGGGAACGGUGUCGCGCCGCCGCCUGCGAGCAGUGGUGACGCCGGCACUGAUGUCCGCGUCGGCGAGAAAGGCGCGUGUGCGUCAUGUCCGCCGGAGCGAGAGGACGGCUACGAUAAGGAGCUGUGCAAGGAGGAGUGGAGUACUCGGGCUCACCGGAGGAACCUGUCGAUGGUGUGA
rnacentral:rRNA from 1 species